rnacentral:lncRNA from 1 species
UAAAAGUGAAGACAUUUUUCCAAAUAAUUGAUUGAAUUAGAUUUUAUCACUUUUGGAAUCAAAGCUUUCUUUACUCUUUUAAGCUCAUGACAGUUAUUUUCGUUACAAUUUAAACAAAUAGAAAAAGUUGCUAGAGUUCCGUUGCUUUUAUAGUUAUUUUUCUGUAUUAGUAUUUGUAUACAACUUGUGGCCUAAAUAAAAUUACAAUGUAUGGCCAAGGGAAGACGUGCAAAUUGUUGCUGAAAAAUAGUCAUUUACUAUAAGUGAUUAUGUGUUAUGAAAGAAAUACAUAUACGUUCAAUUGUUGGACAUUUUUAUUAUUUUUGAUACAUUUUUUUUUAUAUUUUUACGAAAAUAAUGUAUCCUAUUAGUUAAUUACAUUUAGCAAAAGGAAAAAAAUAGAAUUAGAAUCCCAAAG